rnacentral:rRNA from 1 species
UACGUAGGGAGCGAGCGUUAUCCGGAUUUAUUGGGCGUAAAGGGUGCGUAGACGGCAUGAGAAGUCUUUUGUAAAAUAUCUGGGCUCAACCCAGUUGGGCAAAAGAGACUCUUAAGCUAGAGUAUGUAAGAGGUAAGUGGAACUCCAUGUGUAGCGGUAAAAUGCGUAAAUAUAUGGAAGAACACCGGUGGCGAAAGCGGCUUACUAGUACAAUACUGACGUUGAGGCACGAAAGCGUGGGGAGCAAACA